GCACAAGCGGUGGAGCAUGUGGUUCAAUUCGACGCAACGCGAAGAACCUUACCAGCCCUUGACAUGCCCGGUAUGGGGUCGAGAAAUCGGCUCCUUCAGUUCGGCUGGCCGGUGCACAGGUGCUGCAUGGCUGUCGUCAGCUCGUGUCGUGAGAUGUUGGGUUAAGUCCCGCAACGAGCGCAACCCUCACCUUCAGUUGCCAUCAGGUUAAGCUGGGCACUCUGAAGGAACUGCCGGUGACAAGCCGGAGGAAGGCGGGGAUGACGUCAAGUCCUCAUGGCCUUUAUGGGCUGGGCUACACACGUGCUACAAUGGCGGUGACAGUGGGAUGCGAAGGGGCAACCCUUGGCCAAUCUCAAAAAGCCGUCUCAGUUCGGAUUGUCCUCUGCAACUCGAGGGCAUGAAGCUGGAAUCGCUAGUAAUCGCGGAUCAGCACGCCGCGGUGAAUACGUUCCCGGGC
rnacentral:rRNA from 1 species